rnacentral:rRNA from 1 species
GACGACGCUGGCGGCGUGCUUAACACAUGCAAGUCGAACGAUGACGGUGGUGCUUGCACCACCUGAUUAGUGGCGAACGGGUGAGUAACACGUGAGUAACCUGCCCCCCCACUUCGGGAUAACCUCGGGAAAUCGUGGCUAAUACCGGAUACGAGCACUCAUCGCAUGGUGGGUGCUGGAAAGAUUUAUCGGUGGGGGAUGGACUCGCGGCCUAUCAGUUUGUUGGUGAGGUGAUGGCUCACCAAGACGAUGACAGGUAGCCGGCCUGAGAGGGCGACCGGCCACACUGGGACUGAGACACGGCCCAGACUCCUACGGGAGGCAGCAGUGGGGAAUAUUGCACAAUGGGCGAAAGCCUGAUGCAGCGACGCCGCGUGGGGGAUGACGGCCUUCGGGUUGUAAACCCCUUUCAGUAGAGAAGAAGCGAGAGUGACGGUACCUGCAGAAGAAGCGCCGGCUAACUACGUG